rnacentral:rRNA from 1 species
UACCUACUCUUGACAUCCAGAGAACUUAGCAGAGAUGCUUUGGUGCCUUCGGGAACUCUGAGACAGGUGCUGCAUGGCUGUCGUCAGCUCGUGUUGUGAAAUGUUGGGUUAAGUCCCGCAACGAGCGCAACCCUUAUCCUUUGUUGCCAGCGGUUCGGUCGGGAACUCAAAGGAGACUGCCAGUGAUAAACUGGAGGAAGGUGGGGAUGACGUCAAGUCAUCAUGGCCCUUACGAGUAGGGCUACACACGUGCUACAAUGGCAUAUACAAAGAGAAGCGACCUCGCGAGAGCAAGCGGACCUCAUAAAGUUUGUCGUAGUCCGGAUUGGAGUCUGCAACUCGACUCCAUGAAGUCGGAAUCGCUAGUAAUCGUAGAUCA